CCUACGGGUGGCAGCAGUGAGGAAUAUUGGUCAAUGGUCGAGAGACUGAACCAGCCAAGCCGCGUGAAGGAUGAAUGUACAGAGUGUCGUAAACCUCUUUUAUCAGGGAAUAAAGAGAGGCACGUGUCCCUGGUUGCGUGUACUUGAAGAAAAAGCAUCGGCUAACUCCGUGCCAGCAGCCGCGGUAAUACGGAGGAUGCGAGCGUUAUCCGGAUUUAUUGGGUUUAAAGGGUGCGUAGACGGGUUGUUAAGUCAGUGGUGAAAGUUUGCGGCUCAACCGUAGAAUGGCAAUUGAUACUGGCAGUCUUGAGUACGGUUGAGGUAGGCGGAAUGCGUGGUGUAGCGGUGAAAUGCUUAGAUAUCACGAAGAACCCCGAUUGCGAAGGCAGCUUACUA
rnacentral:rRNA from 1 species